rnacentral:rRNA from 1 species
UUCCGGUUGAUCCUGCCRGACCCGACUGCUAUCAGAGUGAGAUUAAGCCAUGCGAGUCAACGUAGCAAUACGUGGCACACGGCUCAGUAACACGUAGUCAACAUAACCAAAGGACGUGGAUAAACUCGGGAAACUGAGGCUAAACCGCGAUAGACCAAUAUACCUGGAAUGGUUUUUGAUUAAAAUCUAUAUGGCCUUUGGAUUGGACUGCGACCGAUCAGGCUGUUGGUGAGGUAAUGGCCCACCAAACCUGUAACCGGUACGGGCUCUGAGAGGAGGAGCCCGGAGAUGGGUACUGAGACAAGGACCCAGGCCCUAUGGGGCGCAGCAGGCGCGAAACCUCUGCAAUAGGCGAAAGCCUGACAGGGUUACUCUGAGUGACUUUCGCUAAGAAAGUCUUUUGACACCUCUAAAAAUGGUGUAGAAUAAGGGGUGGGCAAGUCUGGUGUCAGCCGCCGCGGUAAUACCAGCACCCCGAGUGGUCGGGACGAUUAUUGGGCCUAAAGUAUCCGUAGCCGGUCUUACAAGUCCUCCGUUAAAUCCAACUGCUUAACAGAUGGGCCGCGGAGGAUACUAUAAGACUAGGAGGCAGGAGAGGCAAGCGGUACUCAGUGGGUAGGGGUAAAAUCCGUUGAUCCAUUGAAGACCACCAGUGGCGAAGGCGGCUUGCCAGAAUGCGCUCGACGGUGAGGGAUGAAAGCUGGGGGAGCAAACCGGAUUAGAUACCCGGGUAGUCCCAGCUGUAAACGAUGCAGACUCGGUGAUGGAC